rfam:Erinaceus europaeus unplaced genomic scaffold scaffold00850, whole genome shotgun sequence
AGCUUUGAGUAGUGGCAGUAUCAUAAUCAAUAGGGUUUUUCCAAGGUGUGAAUAUUGCUAAGUUAAAACUUUUCCCAAUACCCUGCCAUGACGACUUGACGUAUAGCUGGCAUUGGCAAUUUUUAAAAUAUUUAUUUAUUU